UAUUAGAUCAAAGAAAAAGAGAAGAAUGAAAAAUGCUAAAAGAGUCGGCAGCAAUUGCCUUGUAGUAUAAGAAAGAACAUGAAAGUCUGUCUUCAAAAAUUCUUCUGUGGAAAAAGUUGGGAAAAGUGCAUUUCAGAGACAUUGAUUGGCAGAUAUUGGGAACAUUGUAAAAAGCCACAUUAGAUUGUUGAAAAUCCCAAUUGCUGAAAAUUCAGANAGCAGUUAAACCAUAUAUAAUGAAUUUUCUUUAACAGGAAUGUUGUCUGUAUGACCUAGUCUUAAUAGCAAUUCCUAAAUGACGUAAGUGAGGAUACAUAGAAACGUGGUUUUAAUCAAGUUCUGUGUUGUUGGUAUUUGACCAUUCAUUGUUUUAAGUAUUCAUCUGUCAGAUGUUAUAUAGAUAGGCAAGUCCUGUUCUUUUAACUCAUCACACAUGGUUAGAGAAUAUUUGGCAAGGAUUUACAAAUUUAUUUUACAUAAUGUUCAUAAUAGAUUUCAGAAUAUGUAAAAUUUGCAUUUAAACUUUUGAAACAUUAGCAAUUGAUAAGGGGAAUCACUUUUCAACUGUCUACAGCAUCAUACCAACUAAGUAAUUUAAUUAUCUUCUGUGUGUCUAUAUCUCUAUGUAUUGAUUGAGCAUAAAACAGGACAAGCUUAUGCUGUAGCAAUUAUUAAUGCUUUCGUGACAAUCUGUUAUACUUAUUUUUAAUUUGUGUUAGUUCUUCUCUAAUGUUUUUUCUAGCUGUUGGCUGUCUCUUGAAGGAGGGCUACUUUACGCUUUCGUUGGACCUGCAGCUGCUGUUGUCUUGAGUUUGUCUCAUCGUUGUCUGGAGUCAAGCCAGGAUCCUUUUGUACAACUCACAGUCCCCCACAAUAGAGGAGCCAAGGAUGUUUACAAAAAGCUGGGCAUAAUUUUCACAUGGAACUGUAUGUUCUCUUUGUAAUUGGCAAGCUUUGUUCAGAGAUGUUUGAAGUUCACAGUCACAGUUUGCCCUGCCAUUAGCUCAUGGCUGUGCAAGGAGCUGUUCUAUGCAGCCACUUAAGCCUAAGUGUACGAAGCAAAAGAAUUGUAUAGCAUCAGCUGGAAAAUGUAAAUGCCGAAAAUAAAGUGAUGAUAAGAAAAACUGAAAAAGAGUUGGCAGGACAGACUGGCAAUAAUUAGGGAUUUUGGCAGAGGUCUUAGAAAAUCGGUUUGAGAGGAAAAAAGGAUCACACUUCUAUAAUCAGAAAAACAAAGAUCUUUUUUUUAAUACAUUGAACACUUGAUACUACCUUUUCAUGGGGCUAUGCAGGAUAGCUUCAUUGAAUUCUGUUCAAUAUUACAAAUGGAUAAUAACAGUCAUUAAGUUGUCCAUUAAGUGUCAUUAGUAUGUUCAUCGAGUGCCAAAGUCUGACUGCCAAAGCAUUUGGAAUGGUUUUU
rnacentral:lncRNA from 1 species